GUUUCGCGGGGUUUUGUGCAAGAGUAUAUUGGUGUAACAGCAGAGGCCCCUAGAGGUCAGUGGUAAGACCAAAGCAGUUAGAGCUGCUUGAUAGAAGAGGAGCCUGAUCUCCGGGGACACAGACUGCAUCAGUCGACAGCCACAAUACUCAAGAAGUCAAGAACGGGUACAUCUGGAAAGAAGAAGGGAGAUCAUACUUGAAUCAACACUUGAAGUCUUUUCUGAAUAGAUUAGCAGGGCCUCUGGAGAGCUUCACUUGAGGACGCCCCAGGCAUGA